GACGAACGCUGGCGGCAUGCCUAACACAUGCAAGUCGAACGAAACCUUCGGGUCUAUUGGCGCACGGUGGCGUAGCGCGUGGGAACCUGCCCUUAUGUUCGGCAUAACUCCCCGAAUGGGGUGCUAAUGCCGGAUAAUGUCUUCGGACCAAAGAUUUAUCGCCUUUGGUUGUGCCCGCGUUGGAUUAGCUCGUUGGUAGGGUAAUAGCCUCUCAAGGGGACGAUCCAUAACUGGUCUGAGAGGAUGAUCAGCCACACUGGGACUGAGACACGGCCCAGAAUCCUACGGGAUGCAGCAGUGGGGAAUAUUGGACAAUGGGCGAAAGCCUGAUCCAGCAAGGCCGCGUGAGUGAUGAAGUCCUGAGGGUUGUAAAGCGCUUUUACCCGGGAUGAUAAUGACAGUACCGGGAGAAUAAGCUCCGGCUAACUCCGUG
rnacentral:rRNA from 1 species